rnacentral:tRNA from 1 species
GCACCUGUGGUGAAAUGGAUAUCAUUACUGACUUCGGAUCAGUCGUUCCAGGUUCGAGUCCUGGCAGGUGCA